GGCAGGAGUGGCUGAAUGGUUAAGGCUCUGGGUUACUGAUCAGAAGGUUGGGGGUUCAAACCCCAGCACUGUCU